GAUGAACGCUAGCUACAGGCUUAACACAUGCAAGUCGAGGGGAAACGACAUCGAAAGCUUGCUUUUGAUGGGCGUCGACCGGCGCACGGGUGAGUAACGCGUAUCCAACCUGCCCACCACUUGGGGAUAACCUUGCGAAAGUAAGACUAAUACCCAAUGACGUCUCUAGAAGACAUCUGAAGGAGAUAAAAGAUUUAUCGGUGAUGGAUGGGGAUGCGUCUGAUUAGCUUGUUGGCGGGGUAACGGCCCACCAAGGCGACGAUCAGUAGGGGUUCUGAGAGGAAGGUCCCCCACAUUGGAACUGGGACACGGUCCAAACUCCUACGGGAGGCAGCAGUGAGGAAUAUUGGUCAAUGGACGAGAGUCUGAACCAGCCAAGUAGCGUGCAGGAUGACGGCCCUAUGGGUUGUAAACUGCUUUUAUAAGGGAAUAAAGUGAGUCUCGUGAGACUUUUUGCAUGUACCUUAUGAAUAAGGACCGGCUAAUUCCGUGCCAGCAGCCGCGGUAA
rnacentral:rRNA from 1 species